AUGAUACGUGAAGACAACCGUCGCGCAGGACACAACAAGUCCGGCCAGGCCGAACACAGUAGACAAAGCUCUUUUGAGCUCCGUCGUGAUAUAGCCCAAUAUAGAGGCGCCGCACACCCACUAUGCUUCACAGAUGAAGUAAUGGAUCAUCAAAUCCCCGAAGGGUUUAAACCCGUGAAUAUUGAAUCUUAUGAUGGCACAACAGACCCCGCGGUUUGGAUCAAAGACUAUCUCCUUCAUAUCCACAUGGCCCGCGGUGAUGAUCUUCACGCCAUCAAAUACCUCCCACUCAAGCUUAAAGGACCAGCUCGGCAUUGGCUCAACAGCUUGCCAGCGGAAUCAAUUGGGUGUUGGGAGGACCUGGAAGCCGCAUUCCUUGAUAACUUCCAGGGCACGUAUGUGCGACCACCAGACGCUGACGACCUAAGCCAUAUAAUUCAGCAGCCAGACGAAUCGGCCAGACAAUUCUGGACACGGUUCUUAACUAAGAAAAAUCAAAUCGUCGACUGUCCGGAUGCGGAGGCCCUCGUGGCCUUCAAACAUAACAUCCGCGACGAGUGGCUUGCCCGGCACCUGGGACAGGAAAAGCCGAAAUCCAUGGCAGCCCUCACAUCACUCAUGACCCGCUUCUGCGCGGGAGAGGACAGCUGGCUAGCCCGCAGCAACAACCUCAGCAAAAAUUCUGGAAGUCCGGAAAUCAAGGACCGCAAUGGCAGGCCGCGUCGCAACAAGAACAAACGCCGCAUUAACGGCAACAAUAAUGAGGAUACGACAGUCAAUGCCGGAUUCAGAGGCUCUAAACCCGGUCAGCGGAAAAAGCCAUUCAAAAGAACUACUCCGGGUCCGUCCAAUUUGGACCGAAUACUCGAUCGCUCGUGCCAGAUACACGGCACCCCCGAAAGGCCAGCUAACCACACCAACAGGGACUGUUGGGUAUUCAAGCAGGCAAGCAAGCUAAUUGCCGAAAACAACGACAAGGGGCUGCAUAGCGAUGACAAGGAAGAGACCCAAUCGCCGAACAAUAGAGGACAGAAGGGUUUCCCCCCACAAGUGCGGACGGUGAACAUGAUAUACACAACCCACAUACCCAAAAGGGAGCGGAAGCGUGCACUCAGGGAUGUAUACGCGAUGGAGCCAGUCGCCCCGAAGUUCAACCCAUGGUCCUCCUGCCCGAUCACUUUUGAUCGAAGGGACCACCCCACCAGCAUCCGCCACGGCGGAUUCUCCACAUUGGUUUUAGACCCAAUCGUCGAUGGAUUUCACCUCACCAGAGUCCUGAUGGACGGCGGCAGCAGCCUGAACCUGCUUUAUCAGGAUACAGUGCGCAAAAUGGGUAUAGACCCCUCAAGGAUUAAACCCACAAAGACGACCUUUAAAGGCAUCAUACCAGGUGUAGAGGCCAAUUGUACAGGCUCAGUUACACUGGAAGUGGUCUUUGGAUCCCCAGAUAACUUCUGA
rnacentral:rRNA from 1 species